AUGACGAGCACUCGCCAAGCCACUGACCACACUGACAGCACCGUCAAGCUCAGCUCAGCUCAGCUAAGCAUGGCUUGGCUGCGGCUGCAAGCUGCUGCCGCCGUCCUCGCUCUGACGGCCAUCGCCGGCGCCGCACACGGCUUCGAGUUCCACGAGGCCACCAUCGACGCCAUCCAGCUCGGCUUCCGCAACGGCAGCCUCACCUCGACCGCGCUCGUCCGGUUCUACCUGGACCAGAUCGGCCGGCUGAACCCGCUGCUGCGCGCCGUCAUCGAGGUCAACCCGGACGCGCUCCGGCAGGCGGCUUGCGCCGACGCCGAGCGCGGCCGCGGCCAGCCCACCGGCGCGCUGCACGGCGUCCCCGUCCUGCUCAAGGACAACAUCGCCACCCGCGACGCGCUCAACACCACGGCCGGCUCCUUGGCGCUCCUCGGCUCCGUGGUGAGGCGGGACGCCGGCGUGGCUGCCCGGCUCCGGCGCGCGGGCGCCGUGGUGCUCGGCAAGUCCAACCCCUCCGAGUGGUCCGAGUUCCGCCAAGUCGACAACGGGUGGAGCGCGCGCGGCGGCCAGACGCGGAACCCGUACGUGUUGUCGUCCGACCCGUGCGGGUCGAGCGCCGGGUCGGGCGUGGCCGCGGCGGCGAACAUGGCGGCCGUGACGCUGGGCACCGACACCGACGGCUCCAUACUCUGCCCGUCGUCGUUCAACUCCGUGGUCGGGAUCCGGCCGACCCUCGGCCUCACCAGCCGCGCCGGCGUGGUGCCCAUCACCCCGUUACAGGACACGGUCGGACCGAUUUGCCGGACGCUGUCGGACGCGGUGCACGUGCUGGACGCCAUCGUCGGCUACGACGAGCUCGAUGCCGCGGCCACCAGAGUGGCGUCCAAGUUCAUCCCUCCCGGCGGGUACGUUCAGUUCCUAAAGAAGGACGGGCUGAGAGGAAAGAGGGUCGGCGUCCUCCGUGGAUUCUUCCAAUCAUACGCAGGCACGCGGCGACUGAGGGUGUACGAGCAGCACCUCGCCACCAUGAGGAAACAUGGGGCCAUGGUGGUCGAUAACUUGCAUGUCGCAGCCAAUCCGACGGCUCUGUUGGAUGAUAUCAGCUCCAACGAGGGGAUCGCAGUGGUGGCAGAGUUCAAGCUCAGCAUAAACGCCUACUUGGCAGACUUGGUCUACUCCCCGGUCCGUUUGCUCGCAGACAUCAUAGCUUUCAACAACGCACAUCCUAUAGAGGAGCGGAUGAAAGAUUUUGGGCAGGAUGACCUUAUCGCGGCCCAAAACACAAGCGGCAUUGGCCCCGUGGAAAGAGUGGCGAUACGACGGCUAAAGGAACUAUCAGCUAAUGGGCUGGAGAAGUUGAUGAAGGAGCACCAACUAGACGCGAUUGUGACGCCCGGCAGCGACGCUUCUAGCCUUCUCGCCACAGGUGGUCACCCUGGCAUCAUUGUGCCAGCGGGGUUUAAUGAGCAAGGGGUUCCCUUUGGCAUAUGCUUCGGUGGGCUGCAGGGGUACGAGCCAAGGCUGAUCGAGAUGGCGUAUGCAUUCGAGCAAGCUACCAAAGUGAGGAAGCCACCCAUGUUCAAGCCCUAG
rnacentral:rRNA from 1 species